rnacentral:lncRNA from 1 species
CUGGCACUAAACAUACAUAUGAAAGGAAAGACUCUCUCUCACACACACACACACACACACACACACACACACACACACACACACACACACACACACCGACUCCCAUGACACAGGGAAAGCUAAUGAUUUGCUUGCUAAUGACUGCAGUGUUUUCCUGAUCGUAAUGAGAAAAGGGAUUUUUCCUACGGAACACUGCUUCCACUCAUCCAGGCCAGGCCGUGUUCUCACUGAAACACAACACAAACUACACAAACAUCUUCACACACAACACAAACAACUUCACACUCAACACAAACUACACAAACAUCUUCACACACAUCACAAACAACUUCACACACAACACAAACAACUUCACACACAACACAAACUACACAAACAUCUUCACACACAACACACACAUAUUCACACACAACACAAACAACUUCCCACACAACACAAACUACACAAACAUCUUCACACACUACACAAACAACUUCACACACAAAACAAACAACUUCCCACACAACACAAACUACACAAACAUCUUCACACACAACACAAACAACUUCACACACAACACAAACAACUUCACACUCAACACAAACAUCUUCACACACAUCACAAACAACUUCACACACAACACAAACAACUUCACACUCAACACAAACUACACAAACAUCUUCACACACAACACAAACAACUUCACACACAACAAAAACUACACAAACAACACACAUAUAUUCACACACAACACAAACAACUUCACACACAACACAAACAUUUUCACACACUACACAAACAACUUCACACACAAAACAAACAACUUCCCACACAACACAAACUACACAAACAUCUUCACACACAACACAGACAUCUUCACACACAACACAAACAACUUCACACUCAACACAAACAUCUUCACACACAUCACAAACAACUUCACACACAACACAAACAACUUCACACACAACACAAACAUCUUCACAAACUACACAAACAUCUUCACACACAAAACAAACAACUUCACACACAAAACAAACAACUUCACACACAACACAUCAACUUCAUUAGAAUCUUCUACACCACUGAUUUUGGCUGAGUUCUUAUGUCUGCAUAUUCUUUUGUCUGUAUUUCUCACACACAAUUUUACAGAAAAGGGUUCUUUCUU